CUACGUGCCAGCAGCCGCGGUAAUACGGAAGGUCCGGGCGUUAUCCGGAAUUAUUGGGUUUAAAGGGAGCGCAGGCGGGAGUAUAAGUCAGCUGUUAAAUAUCAGAGCCCAACUCUGUUAUGCAGUUGAAACUAUAUUUCUUGAGUACGCACAGGGAUGGCGGAAUUCAGGGUGUAGCGGUGAAAUGCUUAGAUAUCCUGAAGAACUCCGGUCGCGAAGGCAGCCAUCCGGAGCGUAACUGACGCUGAGGCUCGAAGGUGCGGGUAUCGAACAGGAUUAGAUACCCUGGUAGUCCGCACGGUAAACGAUGAAUACUCGCAGUUCGGCCGUUUAGGUCGAGUUGUCCAGCGAAAGCGUUAAGUAUUCCACCUGGGGAGUACGCCGGCAACGGUGAAACUCAAAGGAAUUGACGGGGGCCCGCACAAGCGGAGGAACAUGUGGUUUAAUUCGAUGAUACGCGAGGAACCUUACCCGGGCUUGAAC
rnacentral:rRNA from 1 species